UGGCCUACGGGGGGCUGCAGUAGGGAAUCUUCCGCAAUGGACGAAAGUCUGACGGAGCAACGCCGCGUGAGUGAUGAAGGCUUUCGGGUCGUAAAACUCUGUUGUUAGGGAAGAACAAGUGCUAGUUGAAUAAGCUGGCACCUUGACGGUACCUAACCAGAAAGCCACGGCUAACUACGUGCCAGCAGCCGCGGUAAUACGUAGGUGGCAAGCGUUAUCCGGAAUUAUUGGGCGUAAAGCGCGCGCAGGUGGUUUCUUAAGUCUGAUGUGAAAGCCCACGGCUCAACCGUGGAGGGUCAUUGGAAACUGGGAGACUUGAGUGCAGAAGAGGAAAGUGGAAUUCCAUGUGUAGCGGUGAAAUGCGUAGAGAUAUGGAGGAACACCAGUGGCGAAGGCGACUUUCUGGUCUGUAACUGACACUGAGGCGCGAAAGCGUGGGGAGCAAACAGGAUUAGAUACCCGAGUAGUCA
rnacentral:rRNA from 1 species